AUGCGACAGCGGCAACGUCCUGCCGGUGGAGAAGGGAGCCGAGGUGCUGAGGGCAGGAGGCGCAGGCAUGAUUCUGGCCAACGAGUUUUCCCAGGGUUACAUCACGUCCCCGGUCGCGCACGUCCUGCCGGCCUCGCGAGUCAGCUAUGCUGCUGGAGUGGAGAUCAAGAACUACAUCAAGUCAACGCCGAACCCGACGGCCAAUAUCUCCUUCAGAGGCACGGUCCUCGGCACGUCGCCGGCGCCGGUCAUCACCUACUUCUCCUCCCGUGGCCCCAGCGUCCACAGCCCCGGCAUUCUCAAGCCUGA
rnacentral:rRNA from 1 species